CACUACUAUACAACUUUCAACAACGGAUCUCUUGGCUUCGCAUCGAUGAAGAACGCAGCGAAAUGCGAUAAGUAAUGUGAAUUGCAGAAUUCAGUGAAUCAUCGAAUCUUUGAACGCACCUUGCACCCUUUGGUAUUCCGAAGGGUAUGCUCGUUUGAGUGUCAUU
rnacentral:rRNA from 1 species